AAUCAGUGAGGCUAAAAUCAUCUUAUCUAUGCACAGUACCAUUGAAAUUUCCAAUUAAAGUUCAAGAUAUCAAUAACAUAAAGAAUAAAGAUGUCAAAAGUAAUAUUUGUCUCUGUUGCACUCCUCAUUGUUAUUGUAAUGAUGGAGCAUACUGUUGAAGCUUGCAAAUCAGAUUUUCGUGACUGUCUCAAUCAUGACGACUGCUGUUCAGGGGACUGUGCAAAACAUUUAGAUUUUCUGGGUGUUUGGUUUUGCGCUCCUCGUUUUGGAUAAAAAAAAUAAUUACACUUGUAUAUACAGUUUUUCGCGUCAUAUAUAUAACUUA